rnacentral:rRNA from 1 species
UACGUAGGAUGCAAGCGUUGUCCGGAAUUAUUGGGCGUAAAGCGAACGUAGGCGGUUUCUUAAGAUUGGUCUUAAAGACCGGGGCUCAACCCCGGGAAUGGAUCGAUAACUGGGAGACUGGAGGACGUCAGAGGAAAGUGGAAUUCCGAGUGUAGCGGUGAAAUGCGUAGAUAUUCGGAGGAAUCACCAGUGGCGAAAGCGACUUUCUGGGACGUUCCUGACGCUGAGGUUCGAAAGCUCGGGGAGCAAACAGG